rnacentral:rRNA from 1 species
CCUACGGGUGGCAGCAGUGAGGAAUAUUGGUCAAUGGUCGGGAGACUGAACCAGCCAAGCCGCGUGAGGGAGGAAGGUACAGAGUAUCGUAAACCUCUUUUGUCAGGGAACAAAGGCGGGGACGUGUCCCCGGAUGAGUGUACCUGAAGAAAAAGCAUCGCCUAACUCCGUGCCAGCAGCCGCGGUAAUAGGGAGGAUGCGAGCGUUAUCGGGAUUUAUUGGGUUAAAAGGGUGCGCAGGCGGUCUGUUAGGGCAGCGGUCAAACCCCGGGGCUCAACCCCGGCCCGCAGUUGAUACUGGCAGUCUCGAGUUGGAGAGAGGUAUGCAGAAUUCGCGGUGUAGCGGUGAAAUGCAUAGAUAUCGCGCAGAACUCCGAUUGCGAAGGCAGCAUGCCGGCUCCACACUGACGCUGAGGCACGAAAGCGUGGGUAGCGAACAGGAUUAGAUACCCUAGUAGUC